rnacentral:misc_RNA from 1 species
GGAGGGAUCAUUAACACGUAUCCUUACGUCCCACUCUUCAAACCCCAAACCGUGCUCUUUUUCUCCCCACUUGGAUUUGCAGAUGAACUAGUAAGUCAUAGGUGAAUUCCGUCAGUGAUAGAGGCUCAUAGGUGGUCUUACUCUAGUUGGCUUUCUUUCUCAAUCGACAUUAGAGAGAGGAAACUUUGAUUGGAUUUGACUACUUCUCUACACACGGGUCUACUUACAGUUCUACGGAUCAUAUGAUACAGAUUGAUGCUAGCAAUAGCUCUCUAUGUCAUAGAGUUUCGAGUCUGGUCUGAAGUGGUAGUAAAUCAAACCUUGUCACCUGGCUUUUAGGCCAACCCUGUCUCGACCAGGAGCCUCUAAGCCUUAUUAAUCCAUUUUAACCCCUUAAUUAAUUUAUACUGAACUUAUGACUCUCGAAAGAAAGUUAUAUACAUACGAAAUAUGUGAACAACUCUUAGCAACGGAUAUCUUGGUUCUCGUACCGAUGAAGAACGCAGCGAAAUGCGAUACGUAAUGCGAAUUGCAGAAUUCAGUGAAUCAUCAAAUCUUUGAACGCAAAUUGCGCUCUUGGGAUAGCCCUGGGAGCAUGCCUCUCUGAGUAUCGGUUCUACCUCUCGACACUCUGCGUGUUUUUUAAUUAAAUACAAAGAGCCCGUCGGAUAAUGAGCGUCAAGACUUCUCUUUUGAGGUCUCGUUGCUUGAAAACUAUGAGCUCUCUGGAUCUGGUAGCUUGCCUACUGGUCGACAAAGAUAGAAAACCCUUGUGGUUUAAUUCAAUGUUGAACAGUAGGAUAGUCUAUAAAUCAGAUUUUCUAUGAGCUGUAAGGAAAAACCCAAUGAGUUUAAUUACUUAUUGAAUUAGAUCUCAGAUGAAGCAAGAGGACCCCCUGAAUUUAAGCAUAUUAUUAAGGGGAGGAAAAGAAACUAACAAGGAUUCCCCUAGUAACGGCGAGUGAAGCGGGAAGAGCUCAAAUUGUAAAUCGGCCACCCAUGCGGGUGUGUCGAGUUGUAGCCUAGAGACGUGUUGUCAGCGCGUGACCCAGGUAGAAAUCUUUUGAAACAAGGUAUCAUAGAGGGUGAGAAUCCCGUCUUUGACUUGGAGAUCGCCGCGUACGACACACGUUCGACGAGUCGGGUUGCUUGGGAAUGCAGCUCUAAAUGGGUGGUAAAUUUCAUCUAAAGCUAAAUAUCGACGAGAGACCGAUAGCGAACAAGUACCGUGAGGGAAAGAUGAAAAGAACUUUGAAAAGAGAGUUAAAAAGUACUUGAAAUUGCUAAGAGGGAAGCGCUGGAAACCAGUCAUUCGCUUGUGGCUAUACUUACUAUCUGCUGUCGAAGAAUGCUGCGGAUCAGAUCGCAAGACUGGUCGGGUAUUGGACGGAGGGCAGGUGGGUCCUGUAGUCAUAAGUGGGUCAGAAUCAAUUCGAUUCGCGGGUGAAGGCUGUUAGGAAGGUGGGGUCUCCGGACUCGUUAUAGCCUGGCAGUUGUACCGUGGGUUGGAUUGAGGAUUCAAUGUGCGCCGCAAGGUUUCGGCUGCCUAUUCCUGCUAGGUUAGUGGCUUUGGAGGACAAUGUCCUGCGGGUUACGAAGCUUGGUACUGAGUGGGACAGUCAGAUGCACAUUCGCGAUUCUGACGAAAUGGUUUUCAUCGACCCGUCUUGAAACACGGACCAAGGAGUCUAACAUGUAUGCGAGUAUUUGGGUGGCAAACCCUGAUGCGUAAUGAAAGUGAAGGCAGUCUCGGCUGCUGAGGUAGGAAUCCUUUCCUUGAGAGAGGAGGCACUAUCGACCGAUCGUCACUUGUGAUAGAUUUGAGUAAGAGCAUAUCUGUUGGGACCCGAAAGAUGGUGAUCUAUGCCUGAACAGGGUGAAGCCAGGGGAAACUCUGGUGGAGGCUCGUAGCGAUACUGACGUGCAAAUCGUUCGUCUGAUUUGGGUAUAGGGGCGAAAGACUAAUCGAACCAUCUAGUAGCUGGUUCCCUC